rnacentral:rRNA from 1 species
UCCAGACUCCUACGGGAGGCAGCAGUGGGGAAUAUUGCACAAUGGGGGAAACCCUGAUGCAGCGACGCCGCGUGAGUGAAGAAGUAUUUCGGUAUGUAAAGCUCUAUCAGCAGGGAAGAUAAUGACGGUACCUGACUAAGAAGCCCCGGCUAACUACGUGCCAGCAGCCGCGGUAAUACGUAGGGGGCAAGCGUUAUCCGGAUUUACUGGAUGUAAAGGGUGCGUAGGUGGCAGGGCAAGUCAGAUGUGAAAGCCCGGGGCUCAACCCCGGUACUGCAUUUGAAACUGUCCAGCUGGAGUGCAGGAGAGGUAAGCGGAAUUCCUAGUGUAGCGGUGAAAUGCGUAGAUAUUAGGAGGAACACCAGUGGCGAAGGCGGCUUACUGGACUGUAACUGACGUUGAGGCUCGAAAGCGUGGGGAGCAAACAGGAUUAGAUACCCUUGUA